GAUGAACGCUGGCGGCGUGCCUAAUACAUGCAAGUCGAGCGAACGGACGAGAAGCUUGCUUCUCUGAUGUUAGCGGCGGACGGGUGAGUAACACGUGGAUAACCUACCUAUAAGACUGGGAUAACUUCGGGAAACCGGAGCUAAUACCGGAUAAUAUUUUGAACCGCAUGGUUCAAAAGUGAAAGACGGUCUUGCUGUCACUUAUAGAUGGAUCCGCGCUGCAUUAGCUAGUUGGUAAGGUAACGGCUUACCAAGGCAACGAUGCAUAGCCGACCUGAGAGGGUGAUCGGCCACACUGGAACUGAGCCACGAUCCAGACUCCUACGGGAGGCAGCAGUAGGGAAUCUUCCGCAAUGGGCGAAAGCCUGACGGAGCAACGCCGCGUGAGUGAUGAAGGUCUUCGGAUCGUAAAACUCUGUUAUUAGGGAAGAACAUAUGUGUAAGUAACUGUGCACAUCUUGACGGUACCUAAUCAGAAAGCCACGGCUAACUACGUG
rnacentral:rRNA from 1 species